rfam:Ciona savignyi cont_34089, whole genome shotgun sequence.
GUCGUCGUGGCCGAGUGGUUAAGGCGACAGACUAGAAAUCUGUUCGGCUCUGCCCGCACAGGUUCGAAUCCUGUCGGCGACG